AUGAACGCUGGCGGCGUGUCUAAGGCAUGCAAGUCGAACGAGUUCAUUGUCGUCGCAAGACGAUGAUGAAUCAGUGGCAAACGGGUGCGUAACACAUUGGUAAUCUGCUUCGAAGUCGGGCACAACCAGCCGAAAGGCUGGCUAAUUCCACGAUGGUCAUGAGGGGCCGCAUGGCAUUCUCAUGUAAAGUCGCAAGACGCUUCGAAAGGAACCUAUGGCCUAUCAGCUUGUUGGCGGGGUAAUGGCCCACCAAGGCAAUGACGGGUAGGGGAUGUGAGAGCAUGAUCCCCCUCACUGGGACUGAGACACUGCCCAGACACCUACGGGUGGCUGCAGUCGAGAAUAUUCCCCAAUGGGCGAAAGCCUGAGGGAGCGACGCCGCGUGCAGGAUGAAGGCCUUCGGGUCGUAAACUGCUUUUGCCGAGGACGAAAUCUGACGGUACUCGGAGAAUAAGAGGUUGCUAACUCUGU
rnacentral:rRNA from 1 species